rnacentral:rRNA from 1 species
AACGAACGCUGGCGGCAGGCUUAACACAUGCAAGUCGAGCGCCCCGCAAGGGGAGCGGCAGACGGGUGAGUAACGCGUGGGAAUCUACCCAUCUCUACGGAAUAACGCAUGGAAACGUGUGCUAAUACCGUAUACGUCCUUCGGGAGAAAGAUUUAUCGGAGAUGGAUGAGCCCGCGUUGGAUUAGCUAGUUGGUGGGGUAAAGGCCUACCAAGGCGACGAUCCAUAGCUGGUCUGAGAGGAUGAUCAGCCACACUGGGACUGGGACACGGCCCAGACUCCUACGGGAGGCAGCAGUGGGGAAUCUUGGACAAUGGGCGCAAGCCUGAGCCAGCCAUGCCGCGUGAGUGAUGAAGGCCCUAGGGUUGUAAAGCUCUUUCACCGGUGAAGAUAAUGACGGUAACCGGAGAAGAAGCCCCGGCUAACUUCGUGCCAGCCGCCGCGGUAAAAC